UCUGAUCCCUGUUACACAGCUCUGGAACACAAACUCAAUCUGCUGAUGGUGCAGGAUGCUAGUAAAUAUGACCUGCAGGUAAAAAAGAGAAUAAACAACAACACAGCAGAUGGUCCAGUUUGUAGAGUAAAGAAUGGCAGGAUGAGGGAAUGUGAUCUUUAUAAUAACAGACCUGAAGUGACAGUCAUUAAUGGGACUGUGAUAAUAAACCGUGUGAUCAGAGCAGAUUCAGGGAAUUACAGGUUAACUCUCGUUCACUCAGACGGCUCAGAAACAUCUAGAGAUCUUCAAGUGAUUGUUGAAGCUCUUAUUGGCUCAGUGGAAGUGUCAAUAAUCUGCUCCUCCAACCAGACUUCAGUGUUCUGCUCCUCUAAAGGUGAUCAGAUCAUCUACAGCUGGACUCUGAAUGGAGAUCCACUGAUGGAUGGAAACAGCAGCAUUGAUCUGGAUGAGAGAAGAGAUGGAAACAUCAGCUGCAGUGUGAAGAACCACGUCAGUCACGCACAGAAGACCAUUAGACUCAAACCCUGUGCUGGAUCAACUACUGCGGCUGUGACCUCUAGUGUGACCUCUGCAGUGACCAGCAGCACACAGACAUCAGAAUGUGGUACGGGUUUAACAAACAC
ensembl:lncRNA